UAAGGACUGACCUUUGCCUCCGCUUCAUCAAUUGAAAGCGUUUGGAAAUUGUUACGUUGAUUAAAUCGAUAAAAUCUAUCAGUUGGAAUCACCUUAAAACCAUUUUCCUAUAGAGUAAGCAUAAAAAAUCUUAAAUGAUCAAAAGAUGAAUGAUAAACAUCCAACAUCUUCAAAUGGGAUAAAAACUUACAGAGAACAUGAACAAUACAUAUGCAGACGAUUGGCCGCCUUCCAUCGUACUAACCCAUGUGUUUUUUCCUUCAAAAUCUUCCAUAAUCCAAGGAGAUAACUCCUCCUCUUGUAGUCUGCGGGCCUGUGGAUCAACUUUGACGACCUGGCGAGUUUUCCUUUUAAAGGCAUUCUGCUUCAUGUUUUGAGCGCCACCGUAAGGAGCGAUUGAAGCGAUGUUCACGUUACUGGAGCUUCCUUGUUCUGCAUUUUGUUCUCCGUUUGACGAAGAUGGAGCAUUGGGGUCUCUGCGUUGCAUUUUUAUGGGUGGCACAAAGGAUUUGGAAGGAUCAAUGGCUUUGUUAGAGUGAAAUUUUAAUAAAUGGUAUUUAGUUGUUUUUCUUUCACUCUCUGGACACCAUGAAAGCUGGAAAUCCAAAAAUU